GACGAACCGUGCGAACGUUAUUCGGAAUCACUGGGCUUAAAGCGCACGUAGGCGGCUUACUAAGUCAGGGGUGAAAUCCUGGAGCUCAACUCCAGAACUGCCUUUGAUACUGGUAAGCUCGAGUCCGGGAGAGGUGAGUGGAACUGCGAGUGUAGAGGUGAAAUUCGUAGAUAUUCGCAAGAACACCAGUGGCGAAGGCGGCUCACUGGCCCGGUACUGACGCUGAGGUGCGAAAGCGUGGGGAGCAAACAGG
rnacentral:rRNA from 1 species